CCUACGGGACGCAGCAGUGAGGAAUAUUGGUCAAUGGACGAGAGUCUGAACCAGCCAAGUAGCGUGAAGGAUGACUGCCCUAUGGGUUGUAAACUUCUUUUAUAUGGGAAUAAAACAGGGUAUGCAUACCCUCUUGUAUGUACCAUAUGAAUAAGGAUCGGCUAACUCCGUGCCAGCAGCCGCGGUAAUACGGAGGAUCCGAGCGUUAUCCGGAUUUAUUGGGUUUACAGGGAGCGUAGGUGGAUUGUUAAGUCAGUUGUGAAAGUUUGCGGCUCAACCGUAAAAUUGCAGUUGAAACUGGCAGUCGUGAGUACAGUAGAGGUGGGCGGAAUUCGUGGUGUAGCGGUGAAAUGCUUAGAGAUCACGAAGAACUCCGAUUGCGAAGGCAGCCCACUAGACUGCAACUGACACUGAUGCUCGAAAGUGUGGGUAUCAAACAGGAUUAGAUACCCGUGUAGUC
rnacentral:rRNA from 1 species